CUAUCUUCAGAAAGGUCUACUCAUGUAUUCAAAUCAGCAACAUGUAAAACAGUGGGGUGGUAUAACCAACAACGUGCGGAAAUUACAUAAUAGUUCAGAAAUUCUAUGCAUCAAAAGUCUCUUUACAACGUUUGAAAACACGUUAUUUAUAAUGUAAAAGUCCUACAGUUAACUAAUCAACUACUUAGGCUAUUAAUUGCGUGCCAUGGACACGUAGAUCUCAUGAGCCGAGAUCUAGUUAACUGUCGUUAUGCUUCUUAAAUCCUAGAGUGGUGGGCUGUUAGAUUCGUUGUUCAAAAACGAUCCUUAGGUGCGCUUGAGCCUUCGUAAGCUGGGAACUAGGCCACGUAUCAUUCACGUGCCUUUAACAGUAACGUGCCACCGCUGGACUCUUCGGUUGGCCACGUCUUUGACUUAGGUUGACCGCGGCUUCAAAAUGAUGAUUUGGCCGGUUCGAAGGGACGCAAUCCAUGUACAUGCCAUCUGGAGCUUGCCCAUAUGGCCCGUUCCUUCAGAAGACACCUGGAGCAUAACCUUUAACAAAAUGGCUGCGGAAUCCUGUGCGGGCUACGGAAACCUGUGCUGUCUGCGGAAAUUGACAAGUUUCCGCAGUUGCAUGAACAAAAGACUAAACCAAACAACAAACAUCAGUAUAGUUAGAAAACCAUAUAAGCAGUCCUUUUAAAACUAUAAUGCAAUGAUUCAACCAUUGGAUGAGUGAAGUGAGUGGAGUAUGAGGGUUAAGAGGGUGUGUAGGAAGGUGCAAGGUUGAGGCUCAACACUGUUCAUGCCCGGUCAUACUCACAACCGCAUUAGGUCUCCAAGGUGAACAACCUCUGGUCAAUAGAACAAUGUAGGUAAGGGAAGUAAGCAAAAUGGAUCUGUAACUUUGGGAAAAGGAUUGGCUAUAACGGUUGGGCCUAAGGGUCUGUGCCCUCAACUAAUGGGCUGUCGGGAGUCUGCUUGAGCUUCUCUCGUGGCGAGGGUGGUGAGUCACGUGCUGAUUGGGCUAUGGGCAUAGAAUUCCCCCUGCUAGGGGCUUUUCCCUAGGCGGCUAACAACCAACUCAGAAUUGGUACAGACAAGGGUAAUCCACCUGUUUAAUUAAAACAAAGAAUUGUGAUGGUCCCUGCGGAUGCUGACACAAUGUGGUUUCUACCCAAUGCUCUGAAUGUCAAAGUGAAUAAAUUCAACCAAGCGCGGGUAAACAAUGGGAGUAACUAUGACUCUCUCAAGUUAGCCAAAUGCCUUGUCAUCUAAUUAGUGACGCGCAUGAAUGGAUUAAUGAGAUUCCAACUAUCCCUAUCUACUAUCUAGUGAAACCAUAGCCAAGGGAAUGGGCUUGGAAGAAUCAAUGGGGAAAGAAGACCCUGUUGAGCUUGACUCUUAUCUGUCUUUGUGAAAUGACUUGAGAGGUGUAGAAUAAGUGGGAGCUGUUUUUGGUGCAAGUGAAAUACCCCGACUUUUAACAUUAUUAGACUUAUUCCGUGGGGCGGAGAUGGGGCACUGCUCCUCCUUUUGGCCUUAAGGCACAUUUCGGUAGGUCAAUCUGGGUGGAAGACAUUAUCAGGUGGGGAGGUUGGCUGGGGCGGCACAUCUCUUAAAAGAUAAUGCAGGUGUCCUAAGAUGAGCUCAAAGAGAACACAAAUAUCGUGUGGAACAAAAGGGUAAAAUCUCAUUUGAUUUUGAUUUUUAGUAUGGAUACAAACCAUGAAAGUGUGACCUAUCAAACCUUUAGAUUUUCGGAAGUUAAAGCUAUAGGUGUUAUAAAAGUUACCAUAGGGAUAACUGGCUUGUGGCAGCCAAGUGUUCAUAGUGACGUUGCUUUUUGAUCCUUCGAUGUUGGCUCUUCCUAUCAUUAUGAAGAAGAAUUCACCAAGUGUUGGAUUGUUCACCCACCAAUAGGGAAUGUGAGAUGGGUUUAGAUCAUUGUGUGACAGGUUAGUUUUACCGCACAAAUAAACUGCACUGCAAUAGUAUUUCAACUUAGUACGAGAGGAACCAUUGAUUCACACGAUUGGUCAUUGUGCUUGGUUGAAAAACCUGUGAAGCGAAGCUACCAUGUGUCGGAUUAUGACUGAAUGGCUCUAAGUCAGAAUCCACACUAGAAGUGGUGCAUCUCACUCUUCGACUGUAUCUCGACCUAUAGUAGGGGCAUCGCUUUGUUGCCCCCAAGGGCCCAUGUCAUUUGCAAACAGUGGCCAUGAAGCAUCUUGGUCGGGGAAACUUUGAAGUUCAAUUCCAAACGGUUGUUGAGAAGAAUCCUUUGCAUACGACUUAAAUAAACAACGAGGUAUUGUAAGUGACAAAGUGGCCUUGCUUCCACGAUCCACUAAGAUUCAGCUCUUGGUCGCCU
rnacentral:rRNA from 1 species